rnacentral:rRNA from 1 species
GGAACACGGUCCAGACUCCUACGGGAGGCAGCAGUGAGGAAUUUUGCGCAAUGGGGGCAACCCUGACGCAGCAACGCCGCGUGAGUGAAGAAGGCCUUUGGGU